rnacentral:rRNA from 1 species
AACGAACGCUGGCGGCAUGCCUAACACAUGCAAGUCGAACGAGACCUUCGGGUCUAGUGGCGCACGGGUGCAUAACGCGUGGGAACCUGCCCUUAGGUUCCGUAUAACUCCCCGAAAGGGGUGCUAAUACAGGAUAAUGUCUUCGGACCAAAGAUUUAUCGCCUUUGGAUGGGCCCGCGUUGGUUUAGCUAGUUGGUAGGGUAAAAGCCUACCAAGGCGACGAUCCAUAGCUGGUCUGAGAGGAUGAUCAGCCACACUGGGGCUGAGACACGGCCCAGACUCCUACGGGAGGGAGCAGUGGGGAAUAUUGGACGAUGGGCGAAGGCCUGAUCCAGCAAUGCCGCGUGAGUGAUGAAGGCCUUAGGGUUGUAAAGCUCUUUUACCCGGGAUGAUAAUGACAGUACCGGGAGAAUAAGCUCCGGCUAACUCCGUG